rnacentral:rRNA from 2 species
GAUGAACGCUGGCGGCGUGCCUAAUACAUGCAAGUCGAACGAGUUCUGAUUAUUGAAAGGUGCUUGCAUCUUGAUUUAAUUUUGAACGAGUGGCGGACGGGUGAGUAACACGUGGGUAACCUGCCCUUAAGUGGGGGAUAACAUUUGGAAACAGAUGCUAAUACCGCAUAAAUCCAAGAACCGCAUGGUUCUUGGCUGAAAGAUGGCGUAAGCUAUCGCUUUUGGAUGGACCCGCGGCGUAUUAGCUAGUUGGUGAGGUAACGGCUCACCAAGGCAAUGAUACGUAGCCGAACUGAGAGGUUGAUCGGCCACAUUGGGACUGAGACACGGCCCAAACUCCUACGGGAGGCAGCAGUAGGGAAUCUUCCACAAUGGACGCAAGUCUGAUGGAGCAACGCCGCGUGAGCGAAGAAGGCUUUCGGGUCGUAAAACUCUGUUGUUGGAGAAGAAUGGUCGGCAGAGUAACUGUUGUCGGCGUGACGGUAUCCAACCAGAAAGCCACGGCUAACUACGUGCCAGCAGCCGCGGUAAUACGUAGGUGGCAAGCGUUAUCCGGAUUUAUUGGGCGUAAAGCGAGCGCAGGCGGUUUUUUAAGUCUGAUGUGAAAGCCCUCGGCUUAACCGAGGAAGUGCAUCGGAAACUGGGAAACUUGAGUGCAGAAGAGGACAGUGGAACUCCAUGUGUAGCGGUGAAAUGCGUAGAUAUAUGGAAGAACACCAGUGGCGAAGGCGGCUGUCUGGUCUGUAACUGACGCUGAGGCUCGAAAGCAUGGGUAGCGAACAGG